UUAUAUUAUAUAUACUUAAACCUAUAAAUGUGAGUUAUGUGUAUAGCUGCCGUAUUAAACCUCGCAGGCACGUGUUUUGUACAAAUAAUAAUCAAUAUAACAAAUUAGUAAUCAUUACAAUAAUAUCGAGUUCGGUAUGCGAACACCGUUGAUUAAUGUUUAUAUUUUAUUCUAAGUUCUGACGUCGUAGCCAUGCAGUGUUCAAAAACUGUUAGGUGGUGUUUCGUGUUUAUAGCUGUUCUGUUUGUACUAACGUUCGUGAUUUGCUUAAUAUAUUCCGACCAUUUCGAAUUCACCCUUUAACCAGUUUUUAAUAUGUUAUUGUGACAAACAUUUUGUCAUAAUAUUGUGAUGGAAAUUUAUUUUUUAGAGUAUCAUGAGUGUGAUCACGGAGAACGAAAAAACUGUGGUGUGCAGUCGUAUGACAUAUCAUAAUAUAUACACGCGUCACACUGGUCACCUGCAGGCUGCAGCGGAAUUGAAAAAACGCAGAAACUGGCGCCGUAUUUAUAAUUUAAAUAUUAUUAUAUAUUAUAAUAUUAUGUAUAUGACUGGAGCACUACAUAAACCAUAUAUUUAUAUACAUAUAACUAUUACCUAUACCUAUAAGUAUAUGUAAUAUGUAUAGACGUAUAGUUAUAUAUAUAUCUGCGUGGAUUGUGAUGUAUACCGCAUGAACAAAGAUAUAACCAAGGUGGAUUUAUAAGUCCACCUCGGAUAUAACUAGGUAUCUUACUUCGUGAUACACACAAUGAAAUGAUGUGUAAUGACAUCAUAGACACUAUUAGGGUGUGCAGACACGUAUAGUGUAUUGGGAUGGCGGGAUCUAUGGUAUACCUAUACUUGCGAUGCCACGUGGAUCCGACGUAUAAGUAAUUGAUCUGCAAGUAUCCAACAUUCAUCGCCCGAUUUGAUCAAGACGGCCGAACAACCAGUGAAUGAUAUAUUUUAUAAUCAAUGAUAUAGACAUAUAGUUUAUGAUAAAUGAUCAUAAUAUUAUAAUCGGGAAUCGGGAUCUAUAUAGGAGGCCUUAUUUACUGCUUUAGUCUUCAUUAUUACCUAUUGCCUAGCUAUGAUGCUUUGGUAUUUUAUUAUUUUGUUUGCUCUUUUUUUUUUUUGACGCUAAAAUACUACUUACCCAUCUACUUCUGAUUAUAUAAUAUAAAUUAUAUUAAAUUAUAUUAAUAAUAAAUGAAAAUCAAAGUUAUUAAACGGCUGUGUUCAACUUUUAAUAUCUUCCCAGGUAUAUAUUAUGGAUAAUACUAUGUAUCUAUGUAAACCGAACAAUUUUAGCUAGGUAGGUAUUAUUGUAUUUGCUUUCUAUAUGGUAUUACAUUUUAUAUUUGUAAAUAUAUAAUACUUUGAUUUCAUGUUUUUCA